AUAUGUGGACGGGGGAGGAGACGGACUUAUUUCUGAAGUUUUUAAUUGUAUUUGUAUUUUUCUGAAGUUUUGAAUCCACAAUUCGUCUGUGAAUUCCUCAUUAACGAUCCUCUCCCAGAAAUCGCUCAUCCGUGUUCGCUCCCAUACAUACGAGCUUUGCCUUUGAAUUAUCACCCACUGCCUUCGUCUUCUGAUGACAGCAGCGGCAACAGCAGUAAUGGUCACAGAAAUAGCUGCUCCAAAACGAAAAAUGUUUUGUGUCUCGUCCAUGUUGGUGUGCAAAAAGGCUUAAGGAAUACGAGGUCGCACGGGCAGGAAGUUUACCUCGUUGCUAGGCAACGGCCAUUUAAACACGGCUCGCGAGAGGCAGACGGCUCGCUUAUGCCCUGAACACCAUUCAAUGGAAACACCCGCAAAUCGCAAUUGUACUUUGUCGAAAUUUGAUAAACAUCGCUUUUAUUUUGCGAAAAAAUG